GGGAAACGGGAGCCGGGCUUGAGACGCGAGCCAUCCCAAGCCCAAGCCCAGGCAGGCUCA
rfam:Dasypus novemcinctus cont2.672824, whole genome shotgun sequence.